CGCCCUGGCGUGCAGCCAACGCACACCGCCAGGGGCUCGGACUCCUCACUCACUUCACCCCCACCACCCCAGAGCCGAAGAAACGCCCACCCUCCAGGACCCAUGCCUGACCCUCCACCUCCCCCGCUCGUGACGCCCCCCCGAGGAUGCCACACCAGGUGGGUGGGGACAGACACUAGGCGCACAGCACUCGCCCCACUGAGGGUGCCCCCCGCGGGGGUCCCAGGUUGCGUAGUAAGUUGACAUCCGGCCAGCCAGGCCCCGCCUCGCCGCAAGCACGGCCCUCGGACCGCCCCCUGCGUGCGUCCGCCGGCGUCACGUAGCCUGAAGUUGCUAAGGCGGAGGGUUCGCAAGCAGCCGCGCCAGCGACCCGCUUCUCCUCCGUUCCCGCCGCUCCUCCGUGCCCGCCGCUGAGCCAUGAGCCGUAUCGGGAGGAUGUGCGGCGGGACCUCCGCCACCCAGCCCGCCACGGCCAACAUCCAGGACAUCACCGACCAGGUGAAGUGUCAGUUGGAGGAGAAGA